CCAGUGGUUUUCAGGAAAAAAAAAAUGGCAAGAAGGCUCUGGGUGGGGAGGAGCACCAUGUGGUCGAAAUAUUAGAGCCAUGCUUCUAUUUUGCCACUAUACCCUUUUACUUCUUCUGAAUUUUCUGUGGAUCUGAAAAAGGAGUUAAUGACUCUGGCUUAAUGUCAACAAAACUGGAAGAAAACUGUUUUCAUUUGAGCCUAGAUUAAAACAUGCCACUGUAUUUAAAAAGCAAUCAGUUUUAUAAGCUAAACACAAAAAUGUUAACUCUUGGAAAUUUUCCUUUCAGUCAAAAGAAUUGAGAAUAAGCUAAAAAGUCACUAAGAAUUAGAGUCACCAUUGUUGAAAUAAGAAAGGUCACACUUCAAAAUCUAACAAAGGAGUGGCUCCUGUCUAAUGAAGAUCAUUCCCACAUAAAACUCAGAGUGCUUACUUUGUCAUACAUAGAUAUUUAAUUUUAGUAAUA
rnacentral:lncRNA from 1 species